rnacentral:rRNA from 1 species
UCGAGAAUCUUCCGCAAUGGGCGCAAGCCUGACGGAGCGACGCCACGUGCGGGACGACGGCCCUCGGGUUGUAAACCGCUGUUGACGGGGACCAAGGCCCUUCCGGCACACCGGUCGGGUUUGAGGGAGCCGUUGAGGAAGCGCGGGCUAAGAACGAGCCAGCAGCGGCGGUAAUACGUACUGCGCGAGCGUUAUUCGGAAUCACUGGGCUUAAAGGGUGCGCAGGCGGCUUCCUAAGUCCGACGUGAAAGACCGCGGCCCAACCGCGGGACCGCGUCGGAAACUGGGGGGCUCGAGUGGGUCAGGGGCGUGCGGAACUCCCGGUGGAGCGGUGAAAUGUGUUGAGAUCGGGAGGAACGCCGGCGGCGAAAGCGGCACGCUGGGACCCCACUGACGCUCAGGCACGAAAGCCGGGGGAGCGAACGGGAUUAGAUACCCCCGUAGUCC